rnacentral:rRNA from 1 species
GAUGAACGCUGGCGGCGUGCUUAACACAUGCAAGUCGAACGAUGAAGCCCAGCUUGCUGGGUGGGUUAGUGGCGAACGGGUGAGUAACACGCGAGUAACCUGCCCUUAACUCUGGGAUAAGCCUGGGAAACUGGGUCUAAUACCGGAUAGGAGCGUCCACCGCAUGGUGGGUGUUGGAAAGAUUUAUCGGUUUUGGAUGGACUCGCGGCCUAUCAGCUUGUUGGUGAGGUAAUGGCUCACCAAGGCGACGACGGGUAGCCGGCCUGAGAGGGUGACCGGCCACACUGGGACUGAGACACGGCCCAGACUCCUACGGGAGGCAGCAGUGGGGAAUAUUGCACAAUGGGCGCAAGCCUGAUGCAGCGACGCCGCGUGAGGGAUGACGGCCUUCGGGUUGUAAACCUCUUUCAGUAGGGAAGAAGCGAAAGUGACGGUACCUGCAGAAGAAGCACCGGCUAACUACGUG